rnacentral:rRNA from 1 species
GAUGAACGCUGGCGGCGUGCCUAAUACAUGCAAGUCGAGCGAACGGACGAGAAGCUUGCUUCUCUGAUGUUAGCGGCGGACGGGUGAGUAACACGUGGAUAACCUACCUAUAAGACUGGGAUAACUUCGGGAAACCGGAGCUAAUACCGGAUGAUAUUUUGAACCGCAUGGUUCAAAAGUGAAAGACGGUCUUGCUGUCACUUAUAGAUGGAUCCGCGCUGCAUUAGCUAGUUGGUAAGGUAACGGCUUACCAAGGCAACGAUGCAUAGCCGACCUGAGAGGGUGAUCGGCCACACUGGAACUGAGACACGGUCCAGACUCCUACGGGAGGCAGCAGUAGGGAAUCUUCCGCAAUGGGCGAAAGCCUGACGGAGCAACGCCGCGUGAGUGAUGAAGGUCUUCGGAUCGUAAAACUCUGUUAUUAGGGAAGAACAUAUGUGUAAGUAACUGUGCACAUCUUGACGGUACCUAAUCAGAAAGCCACGGCUAACUACGUGCCAGCAGCCGCGGUAAUACGUAGGUGGCAAGCGUUAUCCGGAAUUAUUGGGCGUAAAGCGCGCGUAGGCGGUUUUUUAAGUCUGAUGUGAAAGCCCACGGCUCAACCGUGGAGGGUCAUUGGAAACUGGAAAACUUGAGUGCAGAAGAGGAAAGUGGAAUUCCAUGUGUAGCGGUGAAAUGCGCAGAGAUAUGGAGGAACACCAGUGGCGAAGGCGACUUUCUGGUCUGUAACUGACGCUGAUGUGCGAAAGCGUGGGGAUCAAACAGGAUUAGAUACCCUGGUAGUCCACGCCGUAAACGAUGAGUGCUAAGUGUUAGGGGGUUUCCGCCCCUCAGUGCUGCAGCUAACGCAUUAAGCACUCCGCCUGGGGAGUACGACCGCAAGGUUGAAACUCAAAGGAAUUGACGGGGACCCGCACAAGCGGUGGAGCAUGUGGUUUAAUUCGAAGCAACGCGAAGAACCUUACCAAAUCUUGACAUCCUUUGACAACUCUAGAGAUAGAGCCUUCCCCUUCGGGGGACAAAGUGACAGGUGGUGCAUGGUUGUCGUCAGCUCGUGUCGUGAGAUGUUGGGUUAAGUCCCGCAACGAGCGCAACCCUUAAGCUUAGUUGCCAUCAUUAAGUUGGGCACUCUAAGUUGACUGCCGGUGACAAACCGGAGGAAGGUGGGGAUGACGUCAAAUCAUCAUGCCCCUUAUGAUUUGGGCUACACACGUGCUACAAUGGACAAUACAAAGGGCAGCGAAACCGCGAGGUCAAGCAAAUCCCAUAAAGUUGUUCUCAGUUCGGAUUGUAGUCUGCAACUCGACUACAUGAAGCUGGAAUCGCUAGUAAUCGUAGAUCAGCAUGCUACGGUGAAUACGUUCCCGGGUCU